UCUUAGUUUCUUGAGUGGAUAAUGUCCAGAGAGAGGUUCCCCAUUUAAUGUGAAAUGCAAGUAGCAGAAGGUGCGGCUGAAAAUUUGCUUUGGACACGUGCUUUAACGCUGAGAUGUUUAGCUGUGAUCAGAGUUCUCAUUUUCUUGAGGGACUGAGCCCCAGGAGUUGCGGGUGGAUGGGUUAAACCUUGCUUUCAGAUGAACAGACAGAGCUUGCUGUUCCUCUUUAGAGAGUGAGUUGACUUUGCUGUUCGAGAAGACUGUUGUUCUGCAUGAAACAUAUUAAUUACUGGCUGCCUGGGUGCUGGGAUAUCUCUUUUCACGUGGAGCUGCAGGAUUUCUAUGUCAGUGACGUGUGUGGGAGAUGAAGUCCAGCAUCAGCGCCAGGCUAAAGAGGAGAUGGAGGGCAGGAGCAUCAGCCGUGUUGUUUCAUGCAUGCAUGUGUUUAAGAAAGGUCUGGAAUUGCCUGUGGAGAAACGUGCCCAUAUCUGUGCUGAAUUUGCUCCUUAACCAGAGCAAAUAUACCUUGUUUUGCGGGAGAGUCCAAAAUGAUUGGGGGAAGGUUGUCUGUGUCACCUGCCUUGUACCUACCUGCAUAAUCCAUCUGUAGCUGGUCGAAGGGAUAAAGAAGUGAGCUGACAAAUGCCAACACUUUUUUUAGAGCACAUUAUAAGGAUAUGGCUGAUAACAUCUUAUUCUCUGGUGCUGGAAGGAACAUCAGCUCAGCAUUUUCAGCAGAAGCAGGAGUGGAAUUAACCCAGCUGGUGUAUGGAAAAGGGACGAAGAGCUUAGAGGAUAGAAGGCAGAUGACUUAUUUCAUAGGAACUGCUUUGAAGUCUUUCUGUGUGGCGUGACGCUUCUCUGUCUUGGAUUAACACAGGAGCUCUCAGCCAGAGGAACUGACCUGCUGAAAAUUCGAGUGAAGGAAAGGGGAUUUAGGGACAAGAUCUGCGAAUUUUAGCCGUUCUGUUUUGGAAGACAGAAGUGAUGUAAAGAGAACAGGAACAAUUAGGGCAUAUGCUGUGUUUGUUUAUCUUCAGAAGCGUGUAGUAGGUGUGCCAGCAUGCUGUUGUUCAGCAAUUAGCAAUAAAGGCAGACAGCAAUUAACCACAUGUCUUCUGUGAGCAGUAAUGCAAGUUUUUUGUAUUUAACCUUCAUGAUUCAUGAAGCACUUUGAUUCUGGAAACCAGGAAGAAUAGGAGGGAAGAUCUUAGAGCCUGGUGUAGCCAUGUGAAAAAUGAUCAUAUUUUAUUAGUCAGUAAUAAAAGGGCUUCCAUUUAAAUAUAGAAAGCUUUUCUGUUAUUAGAAAAAAAAAUAUAUUUGCAUAUAUACAUGCAUACACAUAUAUCUAUGUAACUGUAUAGUUAUAUAUAUACUUGUUGGGUGACGGUAGAGUUCUAUUUCUGUGAAUUUUAUGCUUCCUUUGCUUGUAGGACCUCAGAUCAGAUACAUACUUGGAAACAAGUGGAUUGUAUUGAGGGACAGCCUUGGUGAAGAACUCUUUGGAAUAGAGCUUGGUCUUUUUCUAAAGUGUUCCAGCUACAGCGUAUUUUAGAAAACCAAAGAAUACCUGUGUCAUUAUCUGCUAAUGAAGAGAUAACUAUUGCAUCAGGAAUACCUAUACUUUAAGGUCGCUUCUUUUCCCUUAACCAGAUUUCUAUCACAGACCUCUUAUUUGGUAGAAUGAGGUUCAGCAACCAGUCUCAUUAUAGGUAAAAAAAUUUGGAAAGUUUUCCAUUGAUCGUGGUAUAAAAUUGGACUUAGUGUAAUGAACUGGCUCCAGAAUGUGUGCUGGAAUAAUGAUUUUUGUGAAUUAAUAAGAUACUGUUUUCCGGUUUUUAUGGAUUAAUACUUAGCUACAAGCUGUUUAGCAUUUGGAUAGAGAACAUCCUAGUAGUAAAAUGCAAUUUUGUUUGGAAACAGAUGGAACAAUUGGGUUGGUGGACAGACUGUUGUAGAGGGUAGCUGGGGAGAGGCAGAAAGUGCCUGUAUUGGUUGUUCUUUCAGCACAAGUCACUGGGAUUGCCAUUUUAAAAGGAAUCUGGUGGCAGUUUUUUGGAAAAGGGAGUUUUGGGAGCUCUUUUUUUUUGCCUGUGUCUAAAAAUGUGAUUUUAGAAAAAACAGUUAAAAUGAGGUAUUUUGGAAAGAAAAUGAUCAUCUUUUAGAAUAGAAAGAAAAUCAUAUUCAUUGUGUCCUCAAUUAUAAAAAUGUAUCACUUAGCCUGGAAUUGAAAGCUUAUGUAACACUACAUGCAAACACGAAACCUACAUUCCUCCUGCUGUCCCUGUGCCCACUGGGAGCUCUAGCAUUUUCCAAACAGCACUUUUUCAAAGGUGAGUUUUCUCGGGAGAAUUUUUUUUCAAAUCCACCUAAUAAGUGUGCCAUGGAGCGUUGCAGACAUUCCGCCGUGAGCUGAGGAGAGGGCAUGAUGUUGUAAAAGGAGCUGAAGGACGAGAGAAGUGAUUUGAGCUGAAGACUUGUCAGACUUGUCAGAACAUUUGGUCGGGGCAGCGCAGCAGCGGGCUAAGCGCGUUGCAGAAACAGACUGGCAGAAAUAAGGAGGUGCUCUGAAAUUGGUGCUCACCCUGGGAAGUCCUCUGUGCUUCUGGGUUACCUCUGGCCUAAGUGCAGUGAUGGCUGUUGGUGCUGAUGUUGGUGGGAAUGCUAUUUUGCAUUGUACUGGUCCAAAAUGGCCUUAGCGACAGCGUUCUGGAGAGAGAAACAAAGCCUAUGUGUUUUACUAUUCUUCGCAUGAUGAUUAUUCAGCUAAUGCCAGUUCUAAUUUCAGAUGAAAUGCUGAGGUAACUGGUUUUGUUGGUGUUAAUCCACAAUUAUUCAACUAAGAGCAAUAUCAAAGCCAUAAUCUUAAGCAGUCACAGGCAUGGCAAAUAGCCAUUGGCAGAGCUUCAAGAAAUGUGUUCGAUCAGUUAUUGUUCUCGUGCCAUGGAGAGACCUGUAACAGAACAUUCCUGCAGGGGACAAGUUGCCUUGAAAUGUAAAUCAAAUUCAGUUUCACCAUACUCAUUAGUACUGUCUUUGAUGCUGCUUGGUAACCAGGCAGCACCUGGAGCCUUGACAUCUGGCCAGCUGGGCAUUAAUGAUGCAUACCAUCAGUUUGAUCAGUGUUUUAACUGGGAAACAUUAAGGGGAGAUGUGCGAGUGUGAGUGAAGCAUUGUUCUGCAGGUAAUAUAGGAAAGAUGUGAAAGCCUUGAAUGGUCUUAGAUUGUGAGCAGUCCUUGCAGGAUCUCAAGGAUACCAGUACACAGGUGAAUGAGCCCUGCCUCUGCUCACAAAGCUACAGAUGCCUCAUGCACUGGUAUCCAGGGGCAGUGGUUUGCAGGUCUGGAAGAAGCAGAGCUCGGCAUAAUCCUGGGGCAGUGUCUGGCUGAGCUGUGGGAAGGAUUUGGUUUGCAGUCACAGGAUUACCCGUGAGAUGCUUCUUGAUUGGAACAGAAAUAUUUAAUCAGAUCUAUCUCUUGGAACUGCCAUGUUGAGAAAACAGGUCUCCAAAUUGGAUUUUUGUGAUCGAUGGGCAGGAAAGACCUUUUUAUCCACCUUAGUGGAGCUGACUUACAAAACUAGGGUUGGGUGACAGCAGAAUGUCUGUAUUCUGGCAGGACCGGCUGUCUCCUGUCUGGGAAUGCAAGCUGUUCUGGAACUGUGCACUGAUCCUCUGUAAAUUUGAGCCACAAUCUGUACGUUCUUGCACAUCGAAAGAAAAAUGGCUGCUGAGUUCAGAAAUAAUGUGAUUCUAUUUCACCAAUUUCCGAAGGCAAGUGUUGUUUCCCAGUAAGAUGCAUAGGAAUACGUGGGUACCUAGGUGUAUGUUUUGGAAUUUAUUUAAGUACAUCAGUGAAGCAGGAAUCUCUGUGUUGUUUUUUGGAGGCCAGGGACCUGACCCAAGCAGAACAGGGUUCAGAGCCUGAGCACAAGGAUCUGUAGGAUCUGUUUGGAGAAGAGCACAUCUGGAUCCAGGCUUGAGAGAGAAACAGGUUAUAGACACCAAAUGUCAGGGGCAGCGGCAUCAGCCUCUGCUAACGAGCUCGUGUUUGCCUGUUCUGUGAAGUCCUCUUUGAAGCAAUGUUCUGUAAGUUCAUGAAUCUGUUAAAAAUACCAUUCCAAAACAGAGAUUGGGAUCUACAGAAACAGUUCCUUACUUCAGGAAAUGGAGCAUUUCUGAAUAAUACCAUCUUCUGUCAUGCCUACUCAAACUAAUUAGACAACACUGCCACACUUUAGUAAUGUAAUUUAUCUCUUGCCUAGGUAAACUAUAUUCAUGCUUCAGCUACUUGAAUAUUACUGUUCCGCAUUUGAAGUUAUUAUGUUAUUCUGUGCUGUUUAUGUUCCAUGAUAUCAGAUUGUAAUUAAACAAGCGCUUGGGAAGUUGAGUAUUUCCAAGCUCAGAAAAGCUUGUUUGGGGCAUGCAUUGUUUCCCAGGUGAACAGGCUGGACUUGGGCGUGUCCUUUUCUGAAUUGCAUCUGACGUCCUACGCAAGCCAAACAUUCAUCUGUGGGCAUUAAGCAUGUGAAUAGCCUAUUUAACUGAAAGCACAAGUUCACAUUAUUUAAUUGAAUCGGGGUUUGGAGGCCAAAUUUAUUCCAGCUGGAGAUCUGGCAGGGAAGGGCUAAUAUUCUCGGAAGGAAGGAAGGAAAGAAAGAAAGUAGUUCUAAAGCUUAAAAACAUUAAAGAAAAUGCCAGUAGAAAAAAAUGUACUUAGUUUAAAAUAUAUUAUUGGCUUCCAUGAAGCAUGCCCCUGAUGUAGCUGCAGUUGCGCUAAUGGGCACAGCAUCCGCCUGCCAUUCACACCAAUUGGAGGAAGCACUUCAACAUCGGUUAGGGGGCAGGACAGCCUGAGACAAUGCAAAACAUUGCCCAGAAGGACUGAGAGGUUUUCUUGGUGAUUGCUUGCAAACUGUUGCUGUCUGUUUGGUUAAUGUGUGGAUGACAGAUCACAAAGCAACCAGAAGACAGAGGGAAAGCAGAGCAGCAUAGAGCUGUCCUGGUGUGGCCUGAUAAAGGGCUGGCAGCUUCUGGAUGUGCAAGGGUGGAGGUGCAGCAGGUUAGCAAGGAGACAAGGUCGUCUUCUGCCUUCCCUACCCACCUGGCUGCAUUUGCACUGCCAGCUGAGCAGGCUGAAGGCUGCUUUGCCUGUCCAUGCUACUUGCCUGAGUUUGAGGCUAGCCCUGGGCGGACUUAGAGGAAGCAUCAGCGAGGUUUGGUCUUGAAAGUACACUCAGAAAAGACAUUGCCUGUGCCCCUUAUCAGUUCAUCCUGCCUUGGGCAGAUAAAACGGGCUCUUUUCUACAAGGGACUUGAUUUUAACUGUGUCAAGGCCAGCUGAGCAUUGCAGACAUGUGAAACUUGGGCUGGAUUCAAGCAGCUUAUGUGCAAACUCCUGGGAGUACCUGGGCUAAGGCACAGAGGUCCUGCAGGACCGCUGCGCUCAGGCAGGGUGGCAGUGGGAAGAGCAGAACCUGGCCUCCAGCUGCAGCAGUUCUCAGCUGCUGUCGGUGGCACUCAGCAGGGUAAUGCCCCAGCACAUGCAGUGGCAUCAGUGUGAUUUUACUCAGGUUGAUUUAAAGAAUUUCACAGCUAAAUUUAAAGCACCAUUAAGUAGAACGAUGUGUGGGGAAUGGCACCACGCUGUUUUUUUAAUUUUGGAACCUGGCUUUAUAAAUACGCUGCUUUCCUAAGCAGGUUCUUAAAAGAUACCUGUCAAGUAGAUUCUGUCUUGUAAAUAGAUCCAGAUGAAUUUCAUUAAGAUUUUUUUGUGUAAAUCUUUUCUGCCAUGCCUUAGGUUGACUUUGGUAGUUUAUAAAAGCUUCUAAGAACAAUAAAAAAAGGAUAUUUUAUUCUCUCUGAAUAUGUGUUAUGCAGAUUUCCCUGGGUAACAAUUUAAUCUUUUUUAGGAUUGUACUGGAAGGGAACAAUGACUCACAUCCAUUGAUAAAAUACACCUUACCUCCAUAUUAUUAACAAGUGCAGUCAAGUGAAUCAGACUGCAUCUGCCAUUGAGAAUAGAGAUGCUUGUUUGGAGGACAGGGCAGGAUUGCACUCCCAGCCUGUUUUGUUUAUGGUUCCAAAGCCAAAAUACAGGUUGGAGAUUUGUCCCAGGUCAGUGUCUCCUUGACAGCGUGUGCACUGUUGCAUAUCAAGUGCUCCUGCAUAAAAAAAAAAGCUGGAUGGCAAAAAAUAAAUAGCAGUGCUCUAGAGUAAAAGACAGAUCCCGAUGUCUUAUGCGUUCUAGGAAUAUGCCUCCCGUACUGCCAGCUCAAAAUGCAUGGCAAAAAAAAGCAAAAAACAAAGCCACAAUCAAGCUGACAAAGUGAUGUGUAUAGUACAAACUGGCAGAGCGUUUAGUAAAAGAAUAAGAAUUAUUUCGAAAAAGAAAAACAUGACUGGAAAGGUACCUGAAUAACACAUUGCUUCUGCUGAUUUUUCUGUUGUUAAAAUAAGAAAAAUCCAUGAUACGGAGCUGUUCAUUAGUGUAACUGUGAUUUUACUGCUACAUUGUAUAAUUUUCUUUCCACACUGGGGAAACAAAAAUAAAUAUGCCAAAGAUGGAGCAUCUAUUAACAAAUAAGUCAGCUGGGACAAGCAGAAAUUCAUGUAAAAUGCUGCGAGCGUGGUAAGAUCCAGAAAAGGCAUAAAGACUGAAGAAAAUGAUAAAAUGCGUGUCACAGAAAGCAGUCACUCUGUGGGGAAAAAAGCCAUGUAGCAGAAGCAAAGCUUUAGCAAUUUAUGCAAUGAAGGAAAUUAAUUUAAGCUGGAAGAAACAUUAUUUUUCCCAAUAUAAAUCUGGCUUUAUAUUUAUAAAACUUAUUUUGUACUUUUUCUUUAAAGUCUGUUUGCAUAUUUGGUCUACAAAGUGCUAUCAUUUGCUGUUUCAUACUUGGUCUCAGAUGACACCUUGAAAUUUAAUGUCAUAGCAGAGGUAGGGUAGGGCAUGCAGAGUAAGCAGUCGCGCUGUUGGUUUAAGGUUUAUGAUACUAGACUGGUGAAUUAAGCAAAACUAGCGCUAAGAAAAAAUGCCACACUACAUAAAGAAAUGUGUGGAGAGCCUGCAUUUGAUUGCAUUACCAGAUCCUCUGCAUUUAUAGCCCUACAAUGUAUUGCAGAGGUGUGGGCACAUGCAACAUCUAACUGCUGGAAUAUUCCCAUAAUGAAACUGCACUAUUCUUGUUCCACUGAUGUUCACUUCAAGAAAAUGUACGUUAGUCUCUUCUGAAAUGCCUACCCAGGUAAUACUUCUGGAGGGGAUUGUAGCAGACGGGCAGUCUCUGGUCUCGUUUGGGUGUUACCAUAGUUGAGUGCCAUCUUGGUAAGGUAGUGGCCUGGGAGUCAGCGGAUGCGUUCUCAGCUCUGCCCAGUUUAGCUGCCAGGUGUUGAGGAGGACCUGCUCUGGAAAACAGAAGCAAUAAACUGCUUUUCCCUCCUCUUGCUCACUGUGUCAAAUUGGAUUCCAUAGCAUAGCUCUUGCCUUGAAUAUUGGAUGUGAUUAUAUGAUACCAGCACAAUGGAUUUCAUCCUUAUUCAGUCUGGAAGGUAUUGCCUUGUAAUAUAUAUGAUAAUACUUUAAAUUAGAAAUUCACCAUAGUCAUAGAAAACAGCUGGAAAACUCAUCAAUUAUAUCAUGCAUCACUUUUUAAAGGAUGACCUGAAUAUCUGCAAGUCCUGAAUUACUGUCUGCACCCACGUCACCAUCAGUCUGUGUUUAGUAUUUCUGCCAAAGCUGUGGCCAUCCAAACCCUUUGGCAAGCAGGAUGGCAGCCACCCUGCCCCGUGGGUAGCCAUGGCAUCUCCCUGCAUCACCAUGGCAGUGGGGAGGUGAAUAUGCUUCAGUAACAAGUGACCUCUGGCAGCGCUGUCCUGGAAGAAAAUUUGACAACACAGAUUUUCAUUGAAAAGAAAACCUAAUACAGCUGUCUUAGAUUUCUGUCUCAAAAUCUGAGACCUGUAUCAGUAACAGGGUAAGAUCCUGAGUUCAGAAGAGCCUCGUUCCUCCCCUCCCCUCCCCUCCCCUUCUCCACCUGUCUCUGCAGCCCAGCCACGUAGAUGAAUCACAGCAGAAUUGAACAGGUUCGAGAGAAGCCGAGUGAAAGUAUUGGGUAACUCUGCCAAAUUUAUUGCUUUAUUCAUUAUUUAUGCAGGCAGCAGAUGCAAUACAGAUUUAGGGACUGACUGCAGUAAAUAAAAGUCUGACGUGGCCCAGCCAGACACACUAAACACUUCAGCUAUUGCACCAAGAUGUAAAUUUCAAGUCCUAAUAGCAAUGGGAAAUGUUUGAGUACUGGUGUUAAAAGCAGCACCUAAAAUUUCUGGGUGCUAGUGGCAGAGCUGAUGCCUCACAGCACCUUUGUGUUGGGGGCCUGUGGAAAGCAAAAGCAAAGAGCAAACAGGUACUUGUCCCAUGAGAGCAGGCAAGGAAUCUCUUGUGUAACAAACUAGGUGUCUGCCCCUUCCCCCAUGGUUCGUUUGGGACAAAUAAGAUACAGCUGCUGGUGGCUCUGGGGCCUUCAGUGAUUGGUGAGCCUUGAUGAGCAGCUCUGAGUUGGCACCUGUGGGCCAACUUGGGGGAGGUGCUUGGCUGGCUGUGUUGCCCUGAGGUGUGGGGAGAGUUACUUCUGGAGGUAUGGACCAGUCAGGCUUUGUCCUUGGAGCUGUGGUGGUGGGACUGAAGGAGGUCUGGGCUCCAGCUUGCUGAUCUGCAACUCUGCAGUUGUCCUGAAACCAGGAAUGCUGAAGGACCCUCAGAAAGGGAGGUGAUGCAAGUCAGGACCGCUUUCUAGCUCGUGAGGUCUCUGUGCUGUACCCUGCCUGCUGGCCACUUCUAGUGACAGAAACAGGAGACUACAGAGGUUGUAUUGGGAAAAAAUGUCCAUGUUCUCCAAAUGGAAGUGGCUUCCAAGUGCAGGGAUGUCUGCCAGUUCCUGUACCCAAGUUUCCAGCAGAUAUUUUGCUCUUCAGUCUGAACUUCAAGGACUGAGGAUCUCUGCUUCGUAAAGGAAACACUUGUGCUGUCUGCUUCUAUACGAUGCCACGCCUCUAGUUCACACUGAAUUUAAGGAUAAAGCCUUCUCUUCCCUGGGUUGCUUGUACCAAGCUCCGCAAAUCCUGAUGGCCUUAAACACGCCAACCUGGUCCCAGCAGAGCUACUCAUGUCCUGAGCUAUGCAGAGAUUAAACAAUAUUCCAGAAGGCUCGCUUCAAAACCCAGCAGCAAGGCUAAGGGCUGGAUAACACAGUAUUGCCUGUGUUAUCCGAGGGAGAAUAGCAGAAGGAAAAUGUUCCCGUGGCAUUCUCAAGACUGAAAAAGCAAAAAUGUGCCGGAGCCCAACAGCAAUAAUUGCUGCAGCCAGGAGAAGCAGAGGGGCUGCUGUAGCGCUUGGAGCAAAUGAGAAAGGAUGAAUUGCCUGAAAACCGCACGUCCACCGCAUGCUGGUGUUGCUGGGCAUCUUUCAGGAUGCUUCCAGCACCGGCUUUGGUGAAUAAGAACUGGUUAUCUGAGGUUCUCCUGCUACCCCACGUCACUGAACAACUCUGCAGGGAUGAGUCAAUCCACCAGAAGUCCUAAGUGAAUUCUAGUGAGAAAAGGAAGCAGAGGACAGGCUGCAAUCAAGCCGAAGUAUCGAGCAAACAGAAAUCAGCCUGCUUGUGAGAGAGCUGCCCCAUCAAGGGCUCUGACUGUGCAGUUGCCAACGCGUCAGUGUGACUGAAGCCCUGGAUGGAUUUCACAGUGAGGACUGGAGGCCCCCAGAAGAUCUGAACUUCAUGAUGGAAUGUUAGAUUGAAAACCAGCACUGCUAAAAAAAAACAAACAAAAACAUACUGAAGAGGAGGCCUGCAGAUAUGCCCUGCUCAGCUGAAGUUACCCUGCCAACACCCACACAGACUGUGCUUUGAAAGGUGGGAAUGGUUCAAGGAGACCCAAGCAAACAAGACAGUGCUGCAUUUGCUCAUUGCAAAGCUAAUCGACUCCUUGUCAACUGGAUCUGAACUAAAUUUCAAAGCAAAUCCCUGUCUUCAGGGUUUUUCUUGGACUGACGAUUCUAGGGCAUGUCUACUCUCCUGCAGCCACAGGCCUGCCUGCUGCUGUUACUACAUUUAUCAAGAAUGUGUCAUGUUAUAGCUGGUUAAUUUAAAGAAAUCACAGCAGUUCCGACACAAGUUGCCACCCACUUUAUAAUCCGUAUAGAUGCAAUUAGAAUUGAUUGAGCCACUGCAAAUAACCAACAGUAAAACAAAGGUUUCCCAGUAUAUACUUAAUUAGGCUGAUCCAUAAAUAUGGAUUAGGUUAAAAGGUUUCUGAGAUGUAUGUGUGCAUCGCAGGAUGUCUGCUAAUGCCUUCAGGCCUUUGAAAGAGGCGGCUGUAGCUGGAGGGCACUGGGUCCAUGGGGUGGUGUUUGAGGCUCCCUGUCCCCGCUGUGGGGCAGUGGGAGCUCCACGCCAGGAGCAUGUGAACACACCAGGAACCGAACAUGAAAGGCACCUCUGCAGAAGGAUGCUCUCAUUCUCUCCUUCUUUGCUUGAGGGAAGGAGUUUUUAAAUUAUUUAUUUAUUUUCAAUCUAGUGUUUGGUAUCAGCUUGAAGUUUGGGACUUUAUCGGCCCCAGAAGUGAAUCUGCGCACUGGCUCACAGUAACUUAUUUAGCUUUUAUAAAGCUACGUUAAGCACGCGGCAACUCAUUAGCAUCACUCCAGCUGGGAGACCACCGUCAAAGCUUCGUAUGAAUAUAAACUCAAAUUUGAACAUGAAUUGGUUUGGCUUUUUCCCUGCACCUCUCAGUGCUCCAGGGAGACGUGCAAUCCCACCUGGCAGGAGCACUCGCACAGACUCUGUGCAGCAAAGAGAAAGAGAGACACAGAGCCAACCUCCAUGGAAUUUGCUGCCUAAAGCAGACAGUAAGAAACCCUCAUCCUUGUGUAUAACCACAUCUUCUAGCAAUCUUCUCCCUGUUUUGUCUCUUCCACACUACACUUCCUUUCUGUCUUGUCCUGGGGCAUCCCAAUGGUCUGUGGCAGCUCUCCUGUCCUUACAGGGAGCAAGGAGAACUUGGUUGUAACACACUCAGCCAUAUGGUAAGACACUCUGAGUCACCAUUUCAAGAAAAAAAGCAUCAGACCAAGUGAAGCUGAACCUGCUUUUUCCAAAUGAGUUAUGUGACAAAUUCACUUAAUUCACUUUGUUCUCUUCCCCCAACCAUGGAAACACCUGAAGGGGCUCCUGAGCCAGAAGGAUCUGCUGAAGGCAGAACUGAUCAGAGACAGAACUCGGAGAAAGUAGACACAGAUUUGGAUGAAUGGAGGGGAAAGAGGAGCAAUAAAGAAUAAAUAACAUUGGACUCUAAACUUUCCACUGAAAUAGCUUUGGGAGCCUCAUUUACUGUGGAAACAUCCCAAACCUCCAAGUGUGGUCAAUCAUUCCAUGUAAGAACAGAUCUUGGAUCUUUUAUAGGUCCAGUCCUUGUAAAGGGCAACAAAUGCCUGUCUUUAAACAAUUUACAUUCUGCCAGUUAUGCGCAUCUGGACAUAAUAUCACAGGAAAAAACCUGUCCCCUAUUUCCCUUCAUGGCUUUACUUGCAUGCACAGACUCUAGGCCAAAACUAAUAAGUAAAUGGGAAUAGAAAACGAAUAACUAGCUGCAUAUGCUGUUUUUAUGAACUGCUAAAUGAAAUGUCUUUGCUGGUAGCUGCCCCAGAAUUAAUUUUUUAGUUUGAAUUGUACUGAUGAAUUUUGAGAGAGAUACAGGAAUGAACAUGUUCUGUUUCCUUCAUGGUGCUGGGAAAGAGAAAGCAACUUCUUGUGCUCUGCGCUGGUCAUAUGUGGAUAUGCAGUGGUUUAGGAAAUACAGUGACAGUUUCCACGUUCUUGCUCUCAAGAUACAAGAGCAUAGUGGCUGCUACCAGAUUUGUGCAAACAUUUUUUAGAAAGUCACAGAUUGUGCACAAAUAUGGGCAGAUUUUUACGUACGUACCUAUGUGGACUCCAGUUUCUACAUCCGGAAUGUGUGAGACAGAGUGGGCCUGAUCACGACGAAGCAAAUCAAACUCAAAGUGUAUGAAAAAGGCUUCUGGAGGAGCAAAUUAUCUGCAAUGGAAAUCUUUCUAACAAGAGCUGUAGAGCUUUUUUUUCACUCAGGGUGAGGGAAGAACAAAACUUGAAUCCCUAAUAAAACAUACUUCUCUCUUCUGCUGACAGCUCCUGGCUAAGGCUGAUGUAUGUUUUAUUUUCAGAGUUCGGACAAGACAAUACUACUGUUCCUUCAUUUUAGAGGAUUUUUGGCAGCUUUCGCAUUGUUUACAGCAGUAACAGAAACUGUUCUUUUAGAACUUCUAAUUCUUCUGUCGUACUCUCAUAAUGCCUUUAUUUGGCACAGAAAAAUAUAUUUAAGUAAUAAAGUGGUGACAAACUGACAAAAGCUUGAAAUCAAAGCUAAACGACAAUUGCCAGCACAGAGCACAGUAAUGUCAUUGAGACAGAAAGCCUUAAAAAAACCCAAACAAACAAAUCUGCAUUGUAAAUAUCAUUCUAACUAUGGUGAAGUGUCUCUGUCUGCUCCUGUAAUUAAUUUUCUCCUUUACCUUCAUGCCUCAGCCACAGGGAGAUUAUGCAUCCCAGCAUCAGCAGCGAAGCGCUCCCGAGGCUUUUCCUAGAUAAUAUUGUUCCCAGGCUUUGUAUUUCAUUCCUAUGGUAGAUUUCUCGUUACCAUAUGAAUAGGGCUCUUCAACAAGAAAUAUGAGCCAGAUCUUCUCUCAGUGAAUCAAUGGGCCAACUUUUUAUUUUUUUUCUUAUUUGUGGCAAUCUGGAGUGACUCCCUAAUUCUGGUGGAACGAUUUGAGAUUCGGAGUUUGGACCAGAGCGCUUUUGCCUUACCACCACAAAGCAGGGACGCUUGGUUGAAGCCUCAGACAUGAUUGGCUUUGCUCAGUACCCUUACAAAGCAAAAAGCAGCAAGGCUGCUGACUACAUGCCACAUUUUCAAUCCAAUCUGUGCCUCAACUGUUAAAUUAGCAAAGAACAUGGAAUUCAUUCAUUUGCAGAAGAUGAAUUAGUAGCAGUAACGUUUAGAAGUAGGCUGCUUCAAACUUAAAAUUCUUUCUACACGCAGUGUUUUUUCAAAAUGUAUCAUUGCCUAGUAGCUAGCAAGAGCAGCAGGUUGCCUGUGGUUUAGUUUUUCCUUAAGAAACGGUGUCACCAAAUGCUAGAAGAAGAAAUCAGCAUGUUGGCUGUCCUGGUGAGAAAUGUGUAGCAUCAGGCUCCUGCUGAGCACGAUAAGGGCAGCAUUAGCUCUCAGCAGUUGUCUGGUGGUGCCUGAGUUACAGAGGCAGCACGUAAUGCUGGAAGGUAAAGGCCCAACUCGGUUUAUUUGCUGCCUCAUCAGGAAGAACUUCUGAAAACUUGCAAGGACCAUUCACGUAUCUCUCAAUUUUAAGACAUGUAAAGUUAGGAAUAUCAGGCAGAUGGAAGCACUUGAGCACAACAGGAGGAAUGGUAAAGACAUUCCUAACAACAAACUUGUUUUGACCACAGCAGAUCAGAGAACAGGUGUGGCUGCAGACUGUACUCUCUCUCCCAGCCCAACAUACCUGGCACUGGCUGAAGAGCUGAGCACCCAGUGCAUGAGCUGCUGGUGGCCCCAGGGUGGCUCAGCGCUGCUGUGGUAGGGAAGAAAAUGGUUUCCUUCUGAAAAAUCUGACUGGGUCUGAUGCUGCACGAACCAGGGCUGCUGCAUCUACUGAUGUUUCUGUAACGCAAGUGUUUGGCACGUACUGAGCAGGCUUUGGCAGGGAUCAGGCAGAAGUGAAUGCCUGCACAUGACAACUUGUCAGGUAGCUCUGGCCUAGGCUGAUUUUCACUAAUCCAGUAUUUCAUACAUUAAUGUUUUUUAUCAUUAAACACAGAACCUUUGCCAAGCUAACAGAUUAAACACCUGUAACUCUUUAUGAGCAAAAGUGAAUGCAAAGCUUUGGAGAAGGGUCCGUUUUUCUUUCUAAGUGAUGUUUUUUAUGAUAGCUGUUAUUGCUGAGAGUCUGAAUUUCCCUGGAUGUUGAACUGUGCGUAUUAUAAAGAUAUAAAGACUUUUGUUCAAAGUGGCUGUCUUGUUUGGGCUGGAUACAGACACUUUCACUUGUCUUGGUGCAACAAUUUCAUCUGAUUUACUAUUUAUAAUAUUCCUCUAUUUUCGCUGUUUCCAGUGCUGCACUAC